rnacentral:rRNA from 1 species
AGUGAACGCUGGCGGUAGGCCUAACACAUGCAAGUCGAACGGCAGCACAGUAAGAGCUUGCUCUUACGGGUGGCGAGUGGCGGACGGGUGAGGAAUACAUUGGAAUCUACUUUUUCGUGGGGGAUAACGUAGGGAAACUUACGCUAAUACCGCAUACGACCUACGGGUGAAAGCAGGGGAUCUUCGGACCUUGCGCGAUUGAAUGAGCCGAUGUCGGAUUAGCUAGUUGGCGGGGUAAAGGCCCACCAAGGCGACGAUCCGUAGCUGGUCUGAGAGGAUGAUCAGCCACACUGGAACUGAGACACGGUCCAGACUCCUACGGGAGGCAGCAGUGGGGAAUAUUGGACAAUGGGCGCAAGCCUGAUCCAGCCAUACCGCGUGGGUGAAGAAGGCCUUCGGGUUGUAAAGCCCUUUUGUUGGGAAAGAAAAGCAGCAGGUUAAUACCCCGCUGUUCGGACGGUACCCAAAGAAUAAGCACCGGCUAACUUCGU